UUUUUUUGUUGAUUUAGCAAC
rnacentral:piRNA from 1 species